GCGCCAGUAGCUCAACUGGAUAGAGCGUUGGCCUCCGGAGCCAAAGGCUGUGGGUUCGAUUCCCGCCUGGCGCACAA
rnacentral:tRNA from 1 species